CCAGCCCCUCCCCUUGGCCUCUCUCAGAGUCUUAUCUCUGGAGAUUUACAAAUACCUAGUCCUUGCCAUGGGUAGCUGGGCCUUCUGCUACGUGGCCCUUUGUCUUCUGGGAGCAGGACCCAUGGAUGCUGAAAUCUACCAAGUGAGAUUCCUGCUCGCUGAGGCUGGACGGAAUGUGACCUUGGAGUGUAAACAGAAUCUGACCUACAACUCCAUGUACUGGUACCGGCAGGACCCAGGGCAGGGUCUAAGGCUGAUUUACUACUCUGCGGUGGUAAAGGAUGUUCAGAGAGGAGACAUAUCUGAAGGCUACAGUGUCUCUCGAGAGGAGAAGGGGCUGUUUCCUCUCACUGUGAAGGCGGCUCACACCAACCAAACAGCCUUGUACCUCUGUUCUGGUAGCGUCACAGUGGAGCACGGCCACAACCCACCUGUGCACAAACCCGCUCCAGCCCUGCAGCUCCCAAUAUAG